rnacentral:rRNA from 1 species
UACGAAGGGGGCUAGCGUUGCUCGGAAUCACUGGGCGUAAAGCGCACGUAGGCGGCUUGCUAAGUCACGGGUGAAAUCCUGGAGCUCAACUCCAGAACUGCCUUUGAUACUGGCGACCUUGAGUCCGGGAGAGGUGAGUGGAACUGCGAGUGUAGAGGUGAAAUUCGUAGAUAUUCGCAAGAACACCAGUGGCGAAGGCGGCUCACUGGCCCGAUACUGACGCUGAGGCACGAAAGCGUGGGGAGCAAACAGG